rnacentral:lncRNA from 1 species
UGAAGGACAGUUCUGACUUUCCUUCAAAUCUCAUGCCGUUGUUGAUGCUCGUCUGGUGGAUUUGUACCUGAGAAGGGAUGUUUCGGGAGGGAUUUUAGGCUUCUGUCUGCUGUGUGAAGCCGAGGGGGUUUUGUGAAUAUUCUGUAAGAGAUGUGACGCCUGUGGAUGAAAGCAGACAGAUCAGGCCGACCUUGGCUUGGAGUCUAAGUUUUAGAGACAGAAAACAGGGAGGGGGUGAAGGAGAGGGGAAAUGGGAGGAGGAGAAGGAGGAGGGGUGCCAGGAUCAUUUCUUUUCCUGUUACGCAUUUUCCUUUUGGCGGGAGAGAGUGAGAAAGCUCCUGAAUGUAACUGGAGCUGCUGAACUGAACUGGUCAGAAC